rnacentral:rRNA from 1 species
UACGUAGGGGGCAAGCGUUGUCCGGAAUCAUUGGGCGUAAAGCGCGUGUAGGCGGCUCGGUAAGUCUGCUCUGAAAGCCUGGGGCUCAACCCUGGGAGGCGGGUGGAUACUGCUGAGCUCGAGUCCGGAAGAGGCGAGUGGAAUUCCUGGUGUAGCGGUGAGAUGCGCAGAUAUCAGGAGGAACACCAACGGCGAAGGCAGCUCGCUGGGACGGUACUGACGCUGAGACGCGAAAGCGUGGGGAGCAAACAGG